rnacentral:lncRNA from 1 species
UAAUUUUUCCCCCUAAAAUCGGGAUGCUCAAAACACCCUUUAGGUUUUUGAUUAAGCAAGCAGAUUCCCAAAACAAAUACUAGAAACCCUACUCCCAAAUAGAAGUUUGAUUGAGCUCUCUCAUGGCGUUUUCUACCCGUCUCCUUUACAAAUCUCGCCAGGUCUUUCAUCUUCACUCCCAAAGCUAAAGCCAACGGGUUUUUUUUUUCAGUUCCACAAACAAUUAGACAAUCAACUUCUUUUCUUCUCUGUUUCAAUUUUUUUUGGCGUUUUGGAGGUUGAGUUUUUUUUUUGAGUUAAAGUUCUUGGACUCGGUAAAUCUACGAGUCCGAGUCAUUGCGUGCGAGUUUUGAUUCUGGUGAUGUUAUUAUCUCCACCGUCGAUUACUCAGUGAGCUGUUGCAAUUAUCAAAUAAGUUUGUUACUCGUAUUCGGUUUUUUGUUUUUGUGCUUACUUGAAAACUUGUGAUCUCGCCGUUGGUUUAUUUGAAAUCUCUCUCCAGAUCUGAGUUUUCUCCGGUUUCAAUCAACGGCAUUGGUAAUGUCGAGUUUUGUUCUUUCGAAUCCCAGUGGUAAUUUAAUUACUUUUAGCUUUUCUGUUACAGUGUAGAAAUUUGAGCUAUUCUUGAUUUCCAAAUUUGAUUUUUUGUUAAAAAAAUAUUGAGGACUUAGUUUGCUAAAGAUUUGUAUGAAGCUUGGUUCAUAUAUGAAUUUCGUUUUUCUUUUACGUUUUAUUGUACAAUUUGGACCAUAGAUAUAAAAGGAAAGGUUUCAUUGACUCAUAUAAAGCACUUAUUUAGGUUUAGCUUGAAAUAUAAUUUUUUGUAAGUACUUACUUUUUCUUUCCAUCUUUUUUUAUGAAAUUUGAGUUUAAUGGUUUGGUGGUCUCUUGUAAAAGUUCAUGUUUGUUUAGUAAAAUUUUAUCCAUUGAAAGUCAGCAAAGAAGUUCUUUUUCAGAUAUGGUUAGUAAGAAUGGAAGAACCAGGACUGACCCCACCAGAUGCUACUCAACAGCUUUUGUUUUUAGUUAUAUCUGUUCUAUCUGCUUCUUCUUUAGCAAAACUAACUACAAAAGAACCAUGCAGUGAAUGCGUUGCUGCUGUUAAUAAGUUGAUUAGUUUAAGAUAUUUUUGGAGAAACAAUUGAUACAUUCAUUUAUUAUAGGGAGAGUUUUUUAUUAUUUAAAAAAGCAUAUUCAAUAUAAGAUCUUGGACUUUGAAUGAGAGGAGGAAAACAUGUAUUUUUAAGUCUUCAAUUUAAUAUAAGAUAUUUUUACAGGUACCCCAAGUGACUGGAGUCACAUUAUAAAGCAGAUUGGAAUGUCUACUUUCGCAGGAUUAAUCAGGACAAGAACAAAGACAACACCCCAAAAUACUGUUUAUGUUUUUUAUGGUGAAUAAUUUCUGUUUGGGUUGAGGUUAUACUGUUUAGACAUAUAGGUUGCUGAAUGUGCUGAAAUACCUAGGUUAAUUCAAAAUGUGAUUAUUUGUUCUUUAGCGGGUUGCUAGUUAAUACUUUAACCUUAACAUAUUUAUUAGACCAACAAGGAUAUAAUUGCACAAAUCAUACAUGCUAGUAUUUCUGGUGAUAUAGUUCUUACAGCAGCUUACAAACAUGCUAGUAAUUAAAACUGUUUCUUACUUGGUUGUAAGUUCUCCUCUUCGGAAUACCAUCUUCAAGCAUUGUAACAUAAAUUUCUACCAUAAAACUUUAUGGAUAUCCUAUGUUUUAUGCUGGUUUAAUAGCAAGAAAAACCCAAGAUUCCUUUGUAGCUUUAGAUCGUCUAUGCAUCUAUCUGAAAUUAUGAUUGUGGCUAUGUUUAAAUUUCAAUGGUCCUUUAUGUACUUGACGUAUUAUGAUUGUAGCUGUAGUUCGUAACACUCCCUAAUUAUUCAUCUCUUUUGCAUAUAAGCUCAUCAUUCCAUGCUUGUUUUCCAUAUAAUGUUUUAUGGUUUUAUAGUCGAACCUCUGAUUUUGCCAUUUUCGACAGAGGGGAAACUUUAGGUGCAGUACAAGUUCAAAUGGAGUGCAAUCCCAACUUGGUAUACUUUCACAACUUGGUAUCCAUAUAUUCCACUUAGAAUAGGUACUCAUUAUUUAUCCAUUUUUCCCUUUUUGAUCAGAUUUAAAGCUAAUAUUGAAAGGAAUCAUUUAAUUUAAUUCAUCUAUAUUAUUGCCCAAGUUGAAAAAUGAAAUAUCAUUUUUCCCUUCUAAUUUAGAUGCUAAUCACAGACAGCCUGCGAAAGUGAGUGUUUAUUGCAUAACCUUCAUUUUCAAUUUUUAAAAUUUUUUUUAUUGCAUAACCUCUCUCUCCCCUAUUCUCAGUUUCUAUUAAUCUUUUUAAAUUUUUUUUUCUGUGAGUUCACUCAAGAAAGGUUAGUAAAAUUUUGUUGAAAACGUGCAGAGAAGCUUCCAAACUUUUAAAAGUCGAAGUUACCGAUUGCUCCCAAGAACUGACCAAG